rnacentral:rRNA from 1 species
UACGGCUCAGUAACACGUGGUUAACCUGCCCUAAGGUGGUGAAUACUCCCGGGAAACUGGGGCUAAUGCACCAUAGUGGAUACUUGCUGGAAUGCUGUAUCCUCGAAAGAUCCGUCGCCUUAGGAUGGGACUGCGUCCGAUUAGGUAGUUGGUGGGGUAACGGCCCACCAAGCCUGUCAUCGGUACGGGUUGUGGGAGCAAGAUCCCGGAGAUGGAUUCUGAGACAUGAAUCCAGGCCCUACGGGGCGCAGCAGGCGCGCAAACUUUACAAUGCGAGCAAUCGUGAUAAGGAAACCCUGAGUGCCUGUUGAUGCAGGCUGUUCAUCUGUUUAAAUUGCAGGUGAAGAAAGGGCAGGGCAAGACCGGUGCCAGCCGCCGCGGUAAUACCGGCUGCUCGAGUGAUGGCCACUAUUACUGGGUUUAAAGCGUCCGUAGCUUGACUGAUAGGUCUCUUGGGAAAUCUUAACGCUUAACGUUAAGGCGUCUAAGAGAUACCGUCAGUCUUGGAACUGGGAGAGGUAAACCGUACUUCGGGGGUAGGAGUGAAAUCUUGUAAUCCUCGAGGGACGACCUAUGGCGAAGGCAGUUUACCAGAACAGCUUCGACAGUGAGGGACGAAAGCUGGGGAGCAAACGGGAUUAGAUACCCCGGUAGUCCCAGCCGUAAACAAUGUGCGCAGUUUAUCGGUAACCACGCGUUMCUGAUGCGCCGCAGAGAAAUCGUGAAACGCACCACCYUKGGAAG